GUGUUCUGUCAGACAAACCCAAGAAUAUGUAUUUCAUACAACUGAAAGUCAUGUUAAAGGCUUCAAGCUAUGAUAAUUCAAUAAUAUUAAGUAGUAAUAAUAAUUCAAUGUUCUUACCUCAGUUUCCUCUACAGGAAACGUCUCUGCCAGAAGUUGCAAACAUUCAUCAAAUGACAUGGCGUCACCGUUCUCUUCUGUGAAGCUGACAUUCUGCAAGAAAGGAUGAGUGGUUACCUAGCUACGACAUAGCCGCAGCCUAUCAAAUGAGGUGGGAGUAGUCCACCUCUGACAUGAGUAAUGAUGGCCAUGGGAAUGUACCUGUGUAACCUCUAGAGGUGCGACAGCCGACUGCAGUGGGGCGCUGGGUGGCGGGCGGGGUAUGUACUCUCCUGUUUCCUCGUCGAGCUCUAGCUGUGCCAGCAGGGCCUUCUCCUGCUCCAGGACCAGAUGCUGCCUCUUCUCUUCUUCCAGCUCCCUCUGCCUCCGCAGCUCAUGUUCUUUCUGACGAUGGUUGUAGUCAUAAACUUCACGCCUGGCGCCGAGAUCAAUGUCCUGCUUCCACAGUAUGUCAAUCAGCUCCAUGUCCUAGAAAGAAAACCACAGAUCAGUUUAGAGAGCUGUGAGCCAUGCUGCCCUGCAGUGAGAAUGUGAGCAGCAUUGGAGCAAGGAAGAGCGUGCCCUGCUGUGAAGAGUGGCAGCAGCACCCGCCACACCCUGUCCCUCAGUAUCUGUUCACUGACAACAACACUGGCACUAAAGUCAAGGGGGAGAAGCCACAUGAAUAAUAAAUGUACUUCUCUCUUUCCCGUGUUGCCACCACACGCCAGCAUAAGACACGUAUCAUCACUUGAUACUCUUUCCAAGGGAAGUGUUCAUUACCCAUCUGAUUACACUGAGGUGUGAAUUCAUUUGUCUCAUUCAAACUCACAAAGGGCACACUCUAAAUCAAUUUUUGCAUAAUUGACUUCAUGUUACAGUUUCGGUCUCUAAAAGUAGUAAAGUUAAAUCCUAAACAUUAUUUCAUAUUAUAAAGACAACAACUAUACAUAUACAACUAUAUAUGUACCUUUAACAUCCUGUUUUUAUAAAUGAAAACAGGAAGUUAAAAGGUACAUAUAUAGUUGUUGUUUUUUUUUUGUUUUUUUUUAAAUGGUACCACAGUGCUUGUAGAAUAUUAUUUCCUUUUCACAUGAUAUAACAGCAAUAUUCCUUAAAGGGUGUUAUAACCAAAUAAAAGAGGGUAUAUUUGGCUGUAGAUAUGUUGCUGGGUGGAAUUGCAGACCUCGUUUCAUUGUUUUCCUUCCUGUUAUGUCUUCAAGUAAAUAACUACAACUAUUGAUAA